rnacentral:rRNA from 1 species
UACGUAGGGCGCAAGCGUUAUCCGGAAUUAUUGGGCGUAAAGAGCUCGUAGGCGGUUUGUCGCGUCUGCCGUGAAAGUCCGGGGCUCCAACUCCGGAUCUGCGGUGGGUACGGGCAGACUAGAGUGAUGUAGGGGGAGACGUGGAAUUCCUGGUGUAGCGGUGAAAUGCGCAGAUAUCAGGAGGAACACCGAUGGCGAAGGCAGGUCUCUGGGCAUUAACUGACGCUGAGGAGCGAAAGCAUGGGGAGCGAACAGG